rnacentral:rRNA from 1 species
UUUAAUUUAAAGACGAGAAGACCCUAUAGAGUUUAACUAAAAAUUAAUUUAAAAAUUUUAGAAUUUUAUUUUUAUAAUUUAAUUUAAGUUAUGUUGGGGUGACAAAAAAAUUAAAUAAACUUUUUUUAUAUUAAAACAAUUUUAAUUGAAUAAUUGAUCCAUAUAAAUGAUUAAAAGAAUAAAUUACCUUAGGGAUAACAGCGUAAUCUUUUUAAUAGUUCUUAUUGAAAAAAAGGUUUGCGACCUCGAUGUUGGAUUAAAAUUUAUUUUUGGUGUAGAAGCUAAAAUAUUAGGUCUGUUCGACCUUUAAAAUUUUACAUGAUCUGAGUUU